rnacentral:rRNA from 1 species
CAGCAGCCGCGGGAAUACAGAGGGUGCGAGCGUUAAUCGGAUUUACUGGGCGUAAAGCGUGCGUAGGCGGCUUUUUAAGUCGGAUGUGAAAUCCCUGAGCUUAACUUAGGAAUUGCAUUCGAUACUGGGAAGCUAGAGUAUGGGAGAGGAUGGUAGAAUUCCAGGUGUAGCGGUGAAAUGCGUAGAGAUCUGGAGGAAUACCGAUGGCGAAGGCAGCCAUCUGGCCUAAUACUGACGCUGAGGUACGAAAGCAUGGGGAGCAAACAGGAUUAGAUACCCGUGUAGUCCCUGUCUCUUAUAC